rnacentral:lncRNA from 1 species
CGAGGUAACAGUAGUCGCCCCUUGCGUCCCUCCCCCUCCGGGGCGCAUCGCCCCUUGCGUGCAAAGCCCCGGCACCGCCACGAGUCUCGCCUCGCCCUGCACAGGUAAACAGCCGCUGGCCGCCGGCCGGCCGCCCUGCAGGGCAGCCCGGGGACCUGCCCCCGGCGCCACGCCCGGCGCCCCGGGGAGGCCCAGCCCGCAGGCCCCGCCGACUGGGCGCCGCGCCCUGGGAACGUGCACCGGGGCAGGCAGCCCGGCCUCACCUGGCCCCAGCGCGGAGCCGGAUCACACCUGCCUGCUGGGUGAGCCGAGGGCAUUCGCGGAAGGGAAGAGACAAGACCUGGGAAGGGACGCCUGUGGCUUAGAAAGACCCUCAGGCAGGGCCGGGCGUGGGGCGCGCUGAUAAAAAUUCCUGGAGCUGUAUUAUUCACAUCGCAGAUUUGUCCCUUUGCCUCAAUCUAAAAGGAAUGGGAAAGAACAGCCGCUGGGCUCUCAUUUGCUUCCAGCUUACACAGAUUCAACUAUCAAUUAUCCCAGAGGAGAGGCGUGCAGUGCAGGGCGUUGGGCCACGAAACUGAAAGCUGCUGGCGAGGCGCGUGGGGGAGGUCGAUUUCUGCGUCCUGCUGCCUCCACGCACAGUGAGAACCCACCCCGCCACUGCGUUCCUGUCCUCACAGAGAUUCUGGAUUGACUGUGCUAGCAGGAGAAGCUGGGAGUGACUUCUGAGCUGGACUGACCACUGGACGCCAAGUGAUUAUCCCUAAUGUAUUACAUGUCAUUUGCAACCCAAGCUGUCCGUCAUGUACUGGGCCAUCUGACACACUCAUAAAAUCCCAUUACCAACUGGAAAUGGUUUAUGUGGGACUAGCUCCUAACCAGGCACAUCAUUGCUUCAACUGAUUCAUGAGCAGAAGAGUCUUUGCUGGCAACACAUGAACUGUGAUGGAUUCAAUCACUUAGGCUUUCCAUUAUCAAUGCAGACCUGGCCCCUGGGUGCACAGGGUUAUCAGUGACCACCCCUGAAUGCCGCAACUGACCAGACUCCAGGGACACCAUGGACUACUUAGUUGCAGACUGAUGACUUUGGACCUCUUCCAUUAUGGAAAGGGCAGUGAUUUCUUUUCACUGAAACAGGCUCAUGUCUGACUUUGGAACUGACCUCUCUGCCUGUAGAUCAUCAUGGCAUGCUCUACAAAAUUGCUUCUGACAACGGAAUUCACUUUACAGUGAAAGAGGGAAAGCAGUGGGUGAUACCCUUGUCAAUGGAUCCUGUCACCCAGAAGCAGUCAUCUGUAUUCAGCUGUGACAUGAUUUAUUGAAGAUUUCAUUUCAGGACUGAGAGACGAUCAUACCUAAGGAGAUUGAAAUAUCGUCCUUUAAGAUGCUUGUUUGUUCUGAACUAGGGAACAUCACGUGGUGCCGUUUCUCCCACAGCCAGACUAAACAGGUCUGGAGGAAGGGGAAGUAGGCACGGUGCAACUUCCAUCUUACUUAAUGACUCUCACUCUCUUCAACUUUUUUUCCACCAAUUAGCGAUUUUAUUCCCAGGAAAGGAAGGUUGCACCAUUGAGGCAGCUGACCGUUGGGGUGGCUCCCUUUGGAAAGGGGAUAUAAAGUGUUUGUAUGAGUGAUGGUUCCAUUAAAGCAGACAUUUUUUAAAAAGGUGAAAUUUGGGGAAUUAGAGUGAAUAUAGAUGUUGAACAGAAAAAGAGUGAUAUAGCAAUAGUCUGGACAUGUGGGCUGGCCACCUGGAAUUUCACAUGCCAUUAGGUCAAAAAAGUGGGUUGACAAGGCUGGCUGCAGUGACUAGUCCUGGGAAAAUGCUGCUAUACCACGGGAGACAGGCCAGGGUGGAGGCUAUGAAUGAAACUCAAGUGGUUCUCUCAGGAGCCGCCUCCUCCUCCUCCUCCAGCGGUGGGAGUUAAGGGAAGACUGUUACCAUCAUGCAUAUGGGCAGGGCCUCCUUGGUCUCUGUGCCCUUAGGAAAGAGGAAUAGGGUCACGGCUAGUAGGUCACACCCCAGUCAUCUAAGGUACUGGCUGAAGACAGCAUGGACUUGGAAUGGAAACUGGAAGCGGGAAACCUAAACAUCAUCCAGGGUCUCUUCUCUAGGGCAGGAAAUGGGUGCUGUAGCUUCUACUUGUACUUCCUGUGUUGUGUGUAUCCUAUUUUAACUCAUUGCCUCUCUUUCCUCUCCCGUUAUUCGUUUUAUUGUAUAUGGGAUGAACGGUUAUGGUUAACUUUACACUUCAGCUCAAAGAUACAGAAUAAUGAGAUGGGCUUGUUAUCCCACGGAGGUGGGGUAUCCAUUACUCACAGACCUUGAGUACAGGAGUUGAAAGACAUUGGGGUAACCCCGUUGGAAAGGGAAUGAAAGAAGUUUUGAUUGUAUGAGGAAUAGCUACAUAUUUUAAGCAAGAGUUUUUUCUUUAAGUAAAACUAGAGGAAUUAGAGUAUAUGUUGAUAUUGAACAGCAAAAGAGUAAGGCUGUAAUGAACUUAAUAGACCCUUUUUUUUUUUUCUAUUUUGGCUCUGCACCAUAUGAACUCAUUCCCAAAUUUGGAAAAUCCACUAUUUUGCGAGUCUUGGGAAGGGGCAAGAUCAGCUAGUUCAUGGGCACAGGAUCUAAGCUCUGGCAGCUGGAUGUUCUGAUCUAGAACUUCGAAUGUGGAGCCAGG